GACGAACGCUGGCGGCGUGCUUAACACAUGCAAGUCGAACGGACAGGCCCUGCUUUUGCGUGGUGCUCGAGUGGCGAACGGGUGAGUAACACGUGUGUAACCUGCCCUUGACUUUGGGAUAACUUCAGGAAACUGGGGCUAAUAUCGGAUAGGAGCUCCUGCUGCAUGGUGGGGGUUGGAAAGUUCCGGCGGUUGGGGAUGGACUCGCGGCUUAUCAGCUGCUUGGUGGGGUAGUGGCUUACGAAGCCUUUGACGGGUAGCCGGCCUGAGAGAGGGGACGGGCACAAGGGUCCUGCGAGAGGCAGCAGAAUCGUACGGGACGCAGCGGGGGGAAGUAUUGCGCAAUGGCGGCACGUCUGAUGCGGCAGCGCCGCGAGCGGGAUGACGGGCUUCGGGUGAUAAACAGCUUUCGAAGGUGACGAAGCGUGAGUGACGGUAAUGGGUAAAGAAGCACCGGCUAACUACGUG
rnacentral:rRNA from 1 species